rnacentral:rRNA from 1 species
CGCGGUAUACGGGGGAAGCAGCGUUAUCCGGAAUCAUUGGGCGUAAAGCGCCUGUAGGUUGUUUAAUAAGUCUGUUGUUAAAGACUAGGGCUCAACCCUAGGAAGGCAAUGGAAACUACUAGACUUGAGUAUGAUAGGGGUAGAGGGAAUUUCUAGUGUAGCGGUGAAAUGCGUAGAUAUUAGGAAGAACACCGGUGGCGAAGGCGCUCUACUGGAUCAUUACUGACACUCAGAGGCGAAAGCUAGGGUAGCAAAAGGGAUUAGAUACCCCUGUAGUCCUGGCCGUAAACGAUGGAUACUAGAUGUUGCGUUUAUUAUGCAGUAUCGUAGCUAACGCGUUAAGUAUCCCGCCUGGGGAGUACGCUCGCAAGGGUGAAACUCAAAGGAAUUGACGGGGGCCCGCACAAGCGGUGGAGCAUGUGGUUUAAUUCGAUGCAACGCGAAGAACCUUACCAAGGCUUGACAUACUACAAAUUUCUUUGAAAGAGGAAAGUGCCUUCGGGAAUGUAGAUACAGGUGGUGCAUGGCUGUCGUCAGCUCGUGUCGUGAGAUGUUGGGUUAAGUCCCGCAACGAGCGCAACCCUUAUUUUUAGUUGCUAAUUUAUUAGGUUUUCUAGAAAGACUGCCGGUGACAAACCGGAGGAAGGUGAGGAUGACGUCAAGUCAGCAUGCCCCUUAUGCCUUGGGCUGCACACGUGCUACAAUGGUUAAGACAAAGAGUUGCGAGCUCGCGAGAGUCAGCUAAUCUCAUAAACUUAGCCUAAGUUCGGAUGAGU